rnacentral:rRNA from 1 species
UAAUACGGAAGGAGCGAGCGUUGUCCGGAAUUACUAGGCGUAAAGAGCUAGUAGGCGGCUAGUUAAGUUAUAUGUUAAAGCCCACGGCUUAACUGUGGUUCAGCAUAUAAUACUAACUAGAUAGAGUACUGUAGAGGAAGGUGGAAUUCCUGGAGUAGCGGUGGAAUGCGCAGAUAUCAGGAAGAACACCAAAAGCGAAGGCAGCCUUCUGGGCAGUUACUGACGCUGAAUAGCGAAGGUGUGGGUAGCAAACAGGCUUAGAUACCCUGGUAGUCCACACAGUAAACGAUGAUCACUAGGUAUUGGUAUGAUAAAAAAAUAUCAGUACCGUAGCAAACGCAUUAAGUGAUCCGCCUGGGGAGUAUGAUCGCAAGGUUG